CAAUAGCGUAUAUUAAAGUUGUUGCAGUUAAAAAGCUCGUAGUUGAAUUUCUGGUGGGCGCGCCGGUCUUCCAAGUGUUGUACUGGGCGCAGUCCGCCAUCCUUGUGGAGAGGGCUCGCAUUGAGUUGCGUGUCGGAUCUGCAUCAUUUACUGUGAAAAAAUUAGAGUGUUUAAAGCAGGCUGUCGCUUGAAUACAUUAGCAUGGAAUAAUAAGAUAGGACUUCGGUCUAUUUUGUUGGUUGCGAACCGAGGUAAUGAUUAAUAGGGAUAGUUGGGGGUAUUCAUAUUUAAUUGUCAGAGGUGAAAUUCUUGGAUUUAUGAAAGAUGAACAACUGCGAAAGCAUUCACCAAGGAUGUUUUCAUUAA
rnacentral:rRNA from 1 species